GGGGGAUUGGUCUAACGGUAGGACGACUGACUCUGGAUCAGUUUGUAGAGGUUCGAAUCCUUUAUCCCCUGCCA
rnacentral:tRNA from 1 species